UGGGGAAUUUUGGACAAUGGGCGAAAGCCUGAUCCAGCAAUGCCGUGUGUGUGAAGAAGGCCUUCGGGUUGUAAAGCACUUUUGUCCGGAAAGAAAUGGCUCUGGUUAAUACCUGGGGUCGAUGACGGUACCGGAAGAAUAAGGACCGGCUAACUACGUGCCAGCAGCCGCGGUAAUACGUAGGGUCCAAGCGUUAAUCGGAAUUACUGGGCGUAAAGCGUGCGCAGGCGGUUGUGCAAGACCGAUGUGAAAUCCCCGAGCUUAACUUGGGAAUUGCAUUGGUGACUGCACGGCUAGAGUGUGUCAGAGGGGGGUAGAAUUCCACGUGUAGCAGUGAAAUGCGUAGAGAUGUGGAGGGAAUACCGAUGGGCGAAGGCAGCCCCCUGGGAUAACACUGACGCUCAUGCACGAAAGCGUGGGGAGCAAACAGGAUUAGAUACCCUGGUAGUCCACGCCCUAAA
rnacentral:rRNA from 1 species